CCUAUGUCAUCUUCUUCUCCUGUUCCUUCUCCUUCUUCCUCUUGCCGGUGAGAUCGAGCGAACAAUCGAUGUCUUCGAUGACAAUGACGGACUUGCCAGAGGUCUCAAUUAAGAGCUUUUGCAGCUCCGUCUUGUUCUUCACGGCGGUGAGUUCGAGGUCAUAGAUGCCGUAGUUCAAGAGAUUUGCCAUGGCGGCGAUCAUGGUGGUCUUUCCGGUACCUGGAGGGCCGUACAGCAAGUAACCCCUCUUCCAAACUUUGCCGAUCUUGGCGUAGUAACUUGGUGUUGCUGAAGGUGAAAA